AACGAACGCUGGCGGCAGGCUUAACACAUGCAAGUCGAGCGCCCCGCAAGGGGAGCGGCAGACGGGUGAGUAACGCGUGGGAAUCUACCCAUCUCUACGGAAUAACGCAUGGAAACGUGUGCCAAUACCGUAUACGUCCUUCGGGAGAAAGAUUUAUCGGAGAUGGAUGAGCCCGCGUUGGAUUAGCUAGUUGGUGGGGUAAAGGCCUACCAAGGCGACGAUCCAUAGCUGGUCUGAGAGGAUGAUCAGCCACACUGGGGCUGAGACACGGCCCAGACUCCUACGGGAGGCAGCAGUGGGGAAUAUUGGACAAUGGGCGCAAGCCUGAUCCAGCCAUGCCGCGUGAGUGAUGAAGGCCCUAGGGUUGUAAAGCUCUUUCACCGGUGAAGAUAAUGACGGUAACCGGAGAAGAAGCCCCGGCUAACUUCGUGCCAGCAGCCGCCGUAAAAC
rnacentral:rRNA from 1 species